CAGUCGCCGCGGUAAUACGAGGGGGGCAAGCGUUGUUCGGAUUUAUUGGGCGUAAAGGGUGCGUAGGCGGUUUGGCAAGUCUUAUGUGAAAUCUAUGGGCUCAACCCAUAGUCUGCAUGAGAAACUACCGGGCUUGAGUGAUGGAGAGGUGAGUGGAAUUUCCGGUGUAGCGGUGAAAUGCGUAGAUAUCGGAAGGAACACCUGUGGCGAAAGCGGCUCACUGGACAUUAACUGACGCUGAUGCACGAAAGCUAGGGGAGCAAACAGGAUUAGAUACCCCCGUAGUCCCUGUCUCUUAUAC
rnacentral:rRNA from 1 species